rnacentral:lncRNA from 1 species
CGAACCCGCAGAACUGGGACAGAAUCUGUUUUCAGCAAUGUUCCCUGGCAGGCGAUGACAAUACCGCACACCAAGCAAAGCGACGGCUACAAUUGUGGAAUUUAUGUGCUGCUGAUGAGUUCAUAUGCUAAUUAGUUCCCAGGAUAAAUCAGGAGGCAAAUUUGUUAUUUUAGAAAUCUGUGCGUAACCCUUAAGGGUAGGCCACCCAAAAAUGAGUAAAAAGCAAAUGCACCCAAUGUUCACAUUAAGAGAUCUUUGAGGGUUUAGCCAAAGUCAUUCCAUUGAAAGGAUUAGAUUAGCAUAACAAAUUAGUAUACAUUUCACACCUGUCAUGUGCACACCUAAGAAAAUGGUCUGAAACAGGAAGGGACCCAUGUGUAUGUGUUCAAGAGGAAACCAUUUUUUUCCUAUUGCUAACCGAUGUGCUAUGGUAUCCACUAAUGAAUAUGACUCAGGUCAAUAAGGAACUUGGUUGCUAUGUUAAAUGUUGGUAUCAGUGGAGCUUCAACAUCACCAGUGUGCUGCCUUGUUUUCAUGAUUACAGCCAAGCGACAAAGGUUUUCCAAAGUAUGGCCAGAAAGUUAAUGCAGAGAGAGAAGGCACUAAGUCACCCAACUGUCCCAAUGCAUGUUAACAUCGGUGGUGCCAGAAUGGAGGUGGCCAAAGAGAUCCUGGACAAAGAUGGAGUGCUCCACAUGCUCCAGACCUGAGCCCUGGGACCACGUCUCAGGACUACCUGGCCUGAUCACUCCUUGCUGUCCCCAGUCCACCUGGUCAUGCUGCUGCUCCAGUUUCAACUGUUCUGCCUGCGGCUACGGAACCCUGACCUGUUCACCGGACGUGCUACCUUGUCCCAGACCUGACAUUUACUCCUGAGAUGCUGACCUGUUGCACCCUCUUCAACCACUGUGAUUAUUAUUAUUUGAGCCUGCUGGUCAUCUUGCCCAUGUUCUGUUAUAAUCUCCACCCGGCACAGCCAGAAGAGGACUGGAUACCCCUCAGAGCCUGGUUCCUCUCUAGGUUUCUUUCUAGGUUCCUGCCUUUCUAGGGAGUUUUUCCUAGCCACCGUGCAUCUGUAUUGCUUGCUGUUUGGGGUUUUAGGCUGGGUUUCUGUACAGCACUUUGUGACAUCGGCUGAUGUUGAAAGGGCUUAAUGAAUAAAAUUUGAUUGCGUACGGCCGAGUACAUCAUUGACUAGAAGCUUACUGCCAUCCAGGAUCUACUGUAUAUACUAGGCGGUGUCAGAGGAAGGGCAAAAAAAAAUGGUCUAAGACUCCAGUCACAUUGUAAAGUAUGUCAUUUCAAUAGUGUUGUGAUAUCAGAUUAUGUCAUGGAGUAACAAACUUUAAGAUGGAUUUGAUACAAAACUUCUCUGCAAAAGCCAACUUUUACCUGGGGGCAUGCUUUGUAGACCCUUCAAAGGCAUUCCGAUACCUGGUCCCCAAGAAAAAACCCACAUGGUAUGAUAGCUUAUAGACAGUAGUAGGCAAAUGAAUGGAAAAAGUUACAAUAUUAAGAUGAUGGUAUAACAUUUCUAGAGUCUAUUUGCUGGUAAUUGGAAACAGGUCCCUUUGGAAUUUCGUCCCCCAUUCCUAAACACAUCCAUCCUAUAGUGUAGGUUUUGAAGAUUCAUAAUCUCUGAUUGUAGUCAUCAGAAGAAGAUUGAGGAACGGUUGAUAGGUCCAAGAAGUACAAGCCCCCACACCGUUCUCCAACCUCUGAAAUGUUG